GACAAUCCGACAUGGCUGGCUUCCUUUUGAAGAUUGGGUUGUCACUGUGAAGAUUUGGGAUUAUACUCUACCAACAUCGUGUCAUCUCGACGGAAUUGAAAGUUUUAAUGAAGAAGUAAUGUUUUUAACACAACCAAGUGCAAAACAACAUCCAAACGUGGUAAAUUUGUUAGGCUAUUGUAAUAGACGCUACCUUGAAGGUGUUGUUUAUGACCUCAAUCCUUUGGAUACUGUUCGUAACUUGGCUACCACAGGUAGUCUUACUUGGCUUCAAAGGAUUAAAGUGGCUCCUGGA